rnacentral:tRNA from 1 species
GGGUGCUGGAGGAGGAUUAGGCCUCACUGCCAUUCAUGUUGGUAAAGCCAUGGGUGCCAAGAUCAUAGCCGCUGC